CACUGGUGUUCGGGUUGUCAUGCCAAUGGCACUGCCCGGUAGCUAAAUGCGGAAGAGAUAAGUGCUGAAAGCAUCUAAGCACGAAACUUGCCCCGAGAUGAGUUCUCCCUGAGACUUAGAGUCUCCUGAAGGAACGUUGAAGACGACGACGUUGAUAGGCCGGGUGUGUAAGCGCAGCGAUGCGUUGAGCUAACCGGUACUAAUGAACCGUGAGGCUUAACCUUAC
rnacentral:rRNA from 2 species